rnacentral:miRNA from 1 species
GGGUAAUUGCCAUCCGGUCAGU